UGGGGAAUCUUGCACAAUGGGGGCAACCCUGAUGCAGCGACGCCGCGUGAGCGAUGAAGCCCUUCGGGGUGUAAAGCUCUUUCGUCAGGGAAGAUUAUGACGGUACCUGGAGAAGCAGCUGCGGCUAACUACGUGCCAGCAGCCGCGGUAAUACGUAGGCAGCGAGCGUUGUUCGGAGUUACUGGGCGUAAAGGGUGUGUAGGCGGUUGCUUAAGUUUGGUGUGAAAUCUCCCGGCUCAACUGGGAGGGUGCGCCGAAUACUGAAUGACUAGAGUGCGGGAGAGGAAAGUGGAAUUCCUGGUGUAGCGGUGAAAUGCGUAGAUAUCAGGAGGAACACCGGCGGUGUAGACGGCUCUCUGGACCGUAACUGACGCUGAAACACGAAAGCGUGGGUAGCAAACAGGAUUAGAUACCCGGGUAGUCC
rnacentral:rRNA from 1 species